rnacentral:rRNA from 1 species
GAUAAACGCUAGCGGCAGGCUUAACACAUGCAAGUCGAGGGGCAGCAUAGAUUGUAGCAAUACAAUUGGUGGCGACCGGCGCGCGGGUGCGUAACGCGUAUGCAACCUACCCGUCACAGGGGGAUAAUCCGGAGAAAUCUGGUCUAAUACCCCAUAACAUAUGGAUCGGCAUCGGUUCAUGUUGAAAUUUUCGGAGGUGACGGAUGGGCAUGCGUAGCAUUAGCUUGUUGGUGAGGUAACGGCUCACCAAGGCGACGAUGCUUAGGGGGACUGAGAGGUUUUCCCCCCACACUGGUACUGAGACACGGACCGGACUCCUACGGGAGGCAGCAGUGAGGAAUAUUGGUCAAUGGGCGCAAGCCUGAACCAGCCAUGCCGCGUGCAGGAUGACGGCUCUAUGAGUCGUAAACUGCUUUUGUACGAGGGUAAAGUGGGUUACGUGUAACCUUUUGAAAGUAUCGUACGAAUAAGGAUCGGCUAACUCCGUGCCAGCCGCCGCCGUAA